rnacentral:rRNA from 1 species
CGGCUGAAUUUCGGUUUGGUCGGCAAAGGUGGCCUCUUGAUCAAAGCUACCGGGUUGAGAUGAGUCCGCGUCCCAUUAGCUUGUUGGUAGGGUAACGGCCUACCAAGGCGACGAUGGGUAGCUGGUCUGAGAGGACGAUCAGCCACACUGGAACUGGUACACGGUCCAGACUCCUACGGGAGGCAGCAGUGAGGAAUAUUGCGCAAUGGGGGAAACCCUGACGCAGCGAUGCCGCGUGAGUGAAGAAGGCCUUCGGGUCGUAAAGCUCUGUCAAGUGGGAAGAAUAGCCUGGGGACAAAUACUCCUCGGGUCUGACGGUACCACUGAAGGAAGCACCGGCUAACUCCGUGCCAGCAGCCGCGGUAAGACGGAGGGUGCAAGCGUUAUUCGGAUUUAUUGGGCGUAAAGAGCGUGUAGGCGGCCGGUCAAGCCAGAUGUGAAAGCCCAGGGCUUAACCCUGGGAAGGGCAUUUGGAACUGGUUGGCUUGAGUUCGGGAGAG